GAGAAUGGAGACAUGAGGGACGAAACACAGCCCUGACCAUGGCCAGCAGGAGCGGCCAGGCCACAAGGAGGAACCCUGGGACCUCAAGCAGGCAAGUGCGAAAACAAGCCAGCCACAGAGGAACCGGGAGGCCCAGCUGAGCAAACCUUACAGAACAAGGUCGGCACCCUGGAUGGAGUCACAGGAACUCCACCAACGGGGAACUGGAGACGCAAGCACCGGAAGGAAAUGACGAUGAUGAUGCUGACGAGAGAAGGAAGAGGAGGACACCACCCCCAAAAGGAACAUAUAACAAGACCUGAAAAGGAGUCCCCUAUAUGCCACCUGGGAUAAAUUUUUAAAAUUCCACAUUAUAAAAUUUCAGAACACCAAAGUGAAGAGAAGCUCCUACAGUUUCAGAGAAAAUCAAAGCAAGACCCCUAAAAGUGAGUGAGAAACGGGGUGGUACUACGCUUCUCAUCAGCAACCCCGGACCGGCAUGCCUGAGAACCCUUCCUGCCCCAAGGAAGGCACGUCUGGUCACGGCCCCCUCGGCGGAAUCUUCUAGACAGUGUCGCUGCCUGCGCGAUAGCCGGGAGAUGCUGGCCCUAAGGUGUGUAUCCACUGCGGUCAGUGAUGCGGGCUUCCACCGCCAUGCCCAGGACCUGUCCCAGCCACUGCGUGCGGUGACCCAGGUGGAGGUGACUAAUGCCAGUCAGCCACGGACCAGACUGACAGCAGACAGGGACCGGGGCCUAGGUCCUGCCCCUCUGCCUCGCCAUCACGUCAUUUGCCUCGGACCCUGAUACUUCUCAGCUCCACUGUGUCCCUGGACACAGCCGAGCGACCAUACUUGAGUGACGCUUAAGAAAACCGCAGGAAGGGGCUGGGGUGGGGACACUUCCAGUCGUGAGACGGCGAAGCUGGACAGUGUGACGUGCCGUGUGGUGGUGACAGUUAAUCGCACUGCACUGUACCCCGGAAAUUUGCUGAGAGCAGCCGUAAGCCUUCUCCCCACACACAAAGAGAAGUAACUGCACGAGGUGAUGCACGUCUUAAUGAACCUGACCACGGGCAUCAUUUCACAAUGUGUACGUGUGUUAAAGGUACACAACUUUGUCAAGUACACCUCAGUGAAGCAGAGGGAAAACCCAGCAGAGGCCAAGGAACACUGCAUUGCUGUCACAAUCAUGAAUAAGCCCCAGGCAAACGCUGCUGGCUACCGAGGGCACUGCAGGACGGCGACGAGAAAGCGCCGGCGCGGCCCGCGUGUGGCUGUUCAGCGGAGGUGGAGGUCCUCAUUGAAAAGGGAAGUGACUCUGAGUCAGCUCGCCCUGGACAGAGGCCGCCCCUCACUACCUCCCAACCCCACCCAGUAGCCAGGCCCGGCCAGACACGCGAAGUGUAGACACCCAGGGGGCCCACUGACCUGAGUCACCUCUGACAUCGGCUAUACAAGCCCAGGAAAACACACAAGCCCGGACAGCUCUGCCUGCGCCUGACGCGCCUGCUAACUGCAUGUCCACGUGCCAAGGACGGAGCACAGUCCCCCCAGGCCCUGACCCCCAGCGGCACACCGUCACUGGGAGGCCCCAGGUGUCCGCGGGCACCUCCCCCUCGCGCGAGUCCACGUGCAGUUGGUUCGAGAAGCACCGUUCAGACCCCCCGAAACAAAGCACUCCUGUCCAGCUGGCUGCGCCUGGACUCAAGGCCCUCCCGGCCACUGACGGGGCCUACACAUCUCUGUCACCUCGAGUAAGGGAAGGCGGGCCCCCGGGGUCCUGUCCCGGACCCACGGAGACCCCCAGUGCGUCCCAGCGGGGGCCAACCUGCCCUCCGCCCGGAGGUGAGCGGGCAGGGAGCCCCAGCGCCCCCCUUGCCCGCCGUCAUCUUCCAACGAGGGGCAGAGACGGCAGCACAUCCGGCAGGUGCCAGACCUCGGCUCAGAGGUCAAGGGGUGAAGAGACCACCCCGAUCCUCAGAUACAGGCCCUACCCUGGGGCAGGACACGACCCGUGAGCGCAAGCCGGAGGACAGGCCCAGGGCCCGAGACAGACAGCCACGCUGAGCUCAGCCCCAGCUUUCCGCCCGCGCCGCUGAGCUGCGGGCCGGGAUGCUAUCUCCACACACCUGCUCAACUUCUGGUCCCCUCAAGGAGCUCUCAUUUUCCCUGGAAACUGAACUUCUACGGAAAUCAAAGUGCCUGGUGUUCAAACUUUCCUCGUGUUUCAAAAAGGCGGGGGCAAGGCAGUGUAGACAUCAGCGGUGGCUGUGGGGAAACAGAGCAACACCUGUACUCCUGAGACGCUGCACCCUCCACCUGGCCCGCGGAGGGGACACCAGGGGGCACACAGGGUGGCCCUACGAACGCGGAUCCGACUGCCCGUGUGGCUCACGGCCGAGCCGGGGCAUCCACAGAAGGGAAGGCGGCCCCAAAGAGCUGGCAAAUGUUAGAAUGAUAAGAACCACCUAUCUUUAAAAAAAUCUAAUAGAACUGAUGUUGAACGCGUACAGAGUAUGAGUUUUGCAAGAUGAAGACGUUCUGGAGAGCUGUUGUACAACAAUGUGAAUUCACCUGACACCACUGAACUAUGCACUUGCUAAUGGUUAAGAUGCUAAAUUUUAGGUUAUGUAGUAACUACCACAAUUAAAAAUAAUUUUGUUAAAAGCUGGACAUGGUACAGGGAAAAAAUGGGGUGCAAGAGGAUGGUCACGUCCCAGGUCUCGAGUGAGUCCCUGAGAUAGGCGGCCAAGGGAGGGUCCUUGGCUUCGCACAGGAAGGAAUUCAAGAGCAGGCCACAGAAAAGGGAAAGCAGGCUUAUUUAGAGAUGCACACUCCAUAGUCAGAGUGUGGGCCAGCUCAGAAGACGAGAGGUGGCCCCAGGGCAUGGGAUCAUCUGGAAAGUGACAGGGGCCCCAAGGUAUGGGGGUGGUUAGCUUUUAUGGGCUGGGUAAUUUCACAGGAUAAAAAGUGGGAGGAAUAUUCUAACUACCUUGGAGAAGGGGUGGGGAUUUCCAGAAUUGGGGCACCACCCACUUUUGGCCUUUUAUGGUCAUGGAGCCUGUGGGUGUGUCCUUUAGAUGCUAAUGUAUUACAAUGAGCGUAUAAUGCAGCUCGUGGUCUACCAGAAGUCAAACCUGCUAUCUUAGGCCUAGGUAGCUCUGACCAGUUUAUGUUGUAUCCUCUUCUUCUUA